rnacentral:rRNA from 1 species
UACGUAGGGUGCGAGCGUUGUCCGGAAUUAUUGGGCGUAAAGAGCUUGUAGGCGGUUUGUCGCGUCUGCUGUGAAAAUCCGGGGCUCAACCCCGGACUUGCAGUGGGUACGGGCAGGCUAGAGUGUGGUAGGGGAGACUGGAAUUCCUGGUGUAGCGGUGAAAUGCGCAGAUAUCAGGAGGAACACCGAUGGCGAAGGCAGGUCUCUGGGCCACUACUGACGCUGAGAAGCGAAAGCAUGGGGAGCAAACAGG